rnacentral:rRNA from 1 species
AUGGUCAAGGCUGCGUAUGACAUUCUGGAGCACACCCUGGCAGAGCACGGUAGGAGGAUCGGGGUGAAGCGGGUGCCCCGCACCAACUUCGGCCUCUGCUUCCGCGCGACCCGUGCCAUCCUCUCACAGUUGCUGACGGUGACACUGCACUUCGAGCAUGAGCAGGACCUCGUGCUCACGCCGAAUAAGUUGUUCAUCGCGCAAGAGCAAGACAUCUGCCUCACCGUGUCACCGAGCACACGCAUCACCAUCAUCGGCGCGAUGCAGCAACUGGGCACGCGCUUCAUCUACGACCUUGCCGCCGGCAGGGUCUACUUCGCCCCCAAGAACUGCAAUGCCGACACCGGCGGCCAGGGUUGA